rnacentral:misc_RNA from 1 species
GAGAUAUUAUUUGGGCUUGCCCGCAAACAAUGCACAUGUCAAAGAAGCGGGGGCUGGCUGGUUGGUUGAUUGACUUGGCGAACUUGACUUGGCUUGGCUGGCGCCCCCAGAAACACACACACUGCCUGAUAUAACUGACUUGGUGGUCGCUGACUUGGUAAAACGAAA